rnacentral:tRNA from 1 species
GCCAAUGUAGCUCAGCUGGUAGAGCAAUGCUUUCGUAAAGCAUGGGUCGGAGGUUCGAAUCCUCUCAUUGGCU